rnacentral:rRNA from 1 species
AAUAACUGCUAGAUCUGACGUUACCUAAAGAAUCAGCACCGGCUAACUCUGUGCCAGCAGCCGCGGUAAUACAGAGGGUGCAAGCGUUAAUCGGAAUUACUGGGCGUAAAGGGUCUGUAGGCGGAUUAUUAAGUCGGAUGUGAAAUCCCCGGGCUCAACCUGGGAACGGCAUUCGAUACUGGUAGUCUAGAGUGUGCAAGAGGAUGGGGGAAUUCCUGGUGUAGCAGUGAAAUGCGUAGAGAUCAGGAGGAACAUCAAUGGCGAAGGCACCUUUCUGGGGCAACACUGACGCUGAGAGACGAAAGCGUGGGGAGCAAACAGGAUUAGAUACCCUGGUAGUCCACGCCCUAAACGAUGUCAACUAACUGUUCGGAGUCACUAAGAUUCUGAGUAGUGAAGCUAACGCGAUAAGUUGACCGCCUGGGGAGUACGGCCGCAAGGUUGAAACUCAAAGAAAUUGACGGGGGCCCGCACAAGCGGUGGAGUAUGUGGUUUAAUUCGAUGCAACGCGAAGAACCUUACCCGGUCUUGACAUGGUAGGAAUCUUGUAGAGAUACGAGAGUGCCUUCGGGAACCUACACACAGGUGCUGCACGGCUGUCGUCAGCUCGUGUCGUG